GUUUAUACUUACGUUUAGUUUGACUCAAACUCUGAUGCUUUCAGUAUGCUUGACAGAGAUGUGAGUGUGUGAUACACUCUUAUGAUUGUUUUUUUUCCCCCCCCCCAGCAGCAUCUGGAAUCAAGAGACCCAUGGCAUCUGAGCUCUUGGAAGCUAGACAGGAUUCUUACAUCUCAUUGGUGCCUUAUGCCUCUGGCAUGCCCAUCAAGAAAAUAGGCCAUAGAAGUGUUGAUUCCUCAGGAGAGACAACAUAUAAAAAGACAACCUCAUCAGCCUUGAAAGGUGCCAUCCAGUUAGGCAUUACCCACACUGUGGGGAGCCUGAGUACCAAACCAGAGCGUGAUGUCCUCAUGCAAGAUUUCUACGUGGUUGAGAGUAUCUUCUUUCCCAGCGAAGGGAGCAACCUGACCCCUGCUCAUCACUACAAUGACUUUCGUUUCAAGACCUAUGC
rnacentral:sRNA from 1 species